AUGGACCCAGAUCUCCAUAUUGUUCCGUUUUUCAGAAGAAGCCAGAAAUACAGAUUUUUGUGAGAUAUGACUUUGGUGAUUAGGUAUUACCUUUUUUGGUUGAGUUUUAGGAACAAAAAGGUUAGAGUCUGCUGUUGUGGAACAUGCCUAUAAUUCCAGCACUUAAAAGCUGGAGGCAGAAGGAGCCAGAGUUGAAGGCCAGUCUUCAUAACACAGUGAGUUAGAGGCUGGCCCAGCUACUAGAAACCAUGACUCAAAAAAACAAACAAGACAGAUGCCAAAAUUUCCACCAACUUGAAUUUUUUGGAAUAUAUUUCAUCUUAUUACUCUUGUUUGGUUGGUUAGUUGUUUUUGUUUUUCUUUUGAGGCAAGGUAUUCUAGGCUGGUCUUGAACUCAGUAUGUAGUCUACAUUUUGGAUCCUCCUGCCCCCACCUCCUAAGUGUUGACAUUACUGGCAUUUGCUACCAUGCCCCACUUACUCAGUGCUAGGGAUUGAAGAUGGGACUUGAUCAUGUAAGCAAGCACUCUGCCUCCCGAGGCACAUCCUCAGGCCUAGCCCUGGACUCAGUCUUUAAAUGCUGUUGCCUCUUCUGUAAACAUAAUCACUACUUCCCUCACUGUGCCUCAAAGCCUGGCAAAAUUACAAUUGUCAAGAGUCACAAUAACCCUUACUGACCCUGAAAAGGUGGUUUGUAGACCUCCAGCUUAUACCUCACGCUCCAUCCAAAGCUUUGGUUUUGAGCAAAACCAUUAAUUAUUCCUCGUGGCAAUCCUGACACUUAGAAGUUAGAACACUUCUUGUCAGAUACUGAAUAAGUUGAUUCAGAAUAUGCUAAUUUUCAUUGUUUUGUUUGCUUGGUUUUGGUUUUAUAGGUUUUAUGAUUUUGUUUUGUUUUUGAAACAGGGUUUCUCUAUGUAAUGGAGCCCUGGCUGUCCUAGACUCACUCUGUAGACCAGGCUGGCCUUGAACUCACAGAAGCCUACCUGUCUCUGUCAUUGCCUUUGUGCCCCACACUCUACCUGAGUGCUGGGAUUAAAGGUGUGUGCCACCACUUCUGGCUCUGAUUUUGUUUUUUUUUUUUUUAUUUAAAAAAAAAAAAAGUCAGGGUCUCACUGUAGCCCUGACUGGCCUGGAACUCAUUAUGUAGACCAGGUAGGCUGGAGGCAUCUGCUAGGUCUAUAGGUGUUCAUGUUCACCACCACACUCAUGAUCACCACAACCCUCAGUUCAGGUCCUUUAUUUAAAAAAAAAUGCUUACACUUUCUUUUUUUCCUAUUGAGGGUGCUGUAUGAUGCAAGUAAUUGAAUCACUGAAGUUUAGAGUCAACUUCUGUUCAUGAAGUGGGUUGCCCAUCAAGGAUGCUCUCCGUCCCACAUCAGUGUGUCCCGAUUUUCCUCACUGUGUUUUUUUAUAUAUAUAUAAAUUUAUUAUGCUAGUUCUUUCCUGAUUAUUUUGUGUUUGUGUUGCUAUUCUCUAUGGGGAUCUCUCUGGAGUACUGCUAACUUUUAAGAUGAAUGGUUAGUUGUAAUAACUGGAGAUGGCCUGUCUGUCUGAAUAGAAAAUCAUAGCUACAAAGUGAUGUGUUAUGGAGCUCCAUCAUUUCAUGUUUAAUACAAAUAAAAGUAUUUUUGGUAUUUCUUCAUUAGAGUUAGUUGUUAGCUUCACUCUAUUCUUACUUGUUGGAAGCUGAAGACUUGAUAAAGUGACUCAGUCUUUUAAUAUCUUCACACCUUGCAUGAUUGAUUGCAUUCAAUGUUUUUAUAAUAUUGAAACAUCCUUAAAUUUAUAAUAAAUCAGCUCUGUGUGACUAUGGCAUAUACUCUUGGCAUUUUUUUUUUUCUGUUUGCAAUUCACUGAGAUUCAUAAAUAAAACUCAUUUGUAUCUU
rnacentral:lncRNA from 1 species